CCAAGUGACAGCGAGUGCGUCCGAGUGACCGUCACGCUGGGACGCUGUCCCCAAAGCAUCUGCCAUGGUCAGACGGGGAAAGAACGGUCAACGAUGGUUCCAGGUGCACGUGCAUUUCCGAUUAGAAAAUCAGAAGCCUAAAAACUACUAAUUGGAUUAAAAAACAACUUUUCUCUGUGCUCGGGACAAUCGGUCAGUGUAAUGGGAGACGUGAUCCCGUUAACUGGGGCGCCCUGAAGAGUCGCUGGAAACGGCCUCACCCCCGCAGCGUCGCCACCCCGGACUUCCCGGCACCCGACUCCUGGAAGAGCUUUCCAUGUUUUAACUCAUUUAAUCCUUUCAACAACCUCUGUCUGAUGUGGGGAUGGUGAGCCCCCUAUUUACAGGAUGGGCCCGCUGGGUGAAGCCACGAGAAACGACAGCAUGACUGGCUGGGCCCAGGACCCCACCCUCACAAGUCCCCUGGGCCCUCAGCACCGCAAGGGAUGCUGCCCGGGACCCAGUGCCAGGGGCAGCGAGCUGGCAGAGCGCACAUAGUGCAGCCGUCACGGGGUGUUGCGGUGGGGGCGGACCCUUCCUGCUCGGCUUCCUGGAAGGUGGCUGGGACGUGCCAGCAGCGCCCACUGGCCUCCUGUGCACCUGGGGCGGCGGGGGGGCUUCUGUGGCCGAGGCUGUGGUGGUGGCUGUGGGAGGCAUGGCUGUGACCAGGGCCGGGGCCGUGGGGAGGGGGCAGCCGGUCUCCUCUGCUGUGGUCAGAGGGCAGCCAGAGGGAUGUAGGGCUGCCCCACCCAGGGUGGCUCCCCGUGUCCCCUUCCAGCCUCUCAGCCGUUCCUGGGGGCCUCUGUGAGUGAUCCCAUGUCCUCCUGGUCGGGUAGAGGUGACUGCCACUGCUGCCACCAAGAAUCCUGAUUAAUACGGCUGCCCAUACUUCAAUAAAAGCCUAAAUUUCUAGCUUCUUGAAAAAAAAUCAGACGUUUUGUCCAACGCUGGACUCGCAUUUCUGUGAGAUCUGACAGUUCUCUAAAAUUAGCAGCACCUGCACUCGUUGCUCUUACCUGUCCACACCUUGGCUGGUCUUCACUCAUUGCCCUUACCUGUUCACACCUGGGCUGGUCUAUGCUCACUUCUGUUACCUGUCCACACCUGGCUGGUCUAUACUCAUUGCCCUUACCUGUCCACACCUGGCUGGUCAAUACUCAUUGCCCUAACCUGUCCACACCUGGCUGGGCUAUGUUCAUUUCUGUUACCUGUCCACACCUGGCUGGUCUACACUCAUUGCCCUUACCUGUCCACACCUGGCUGGUCUACACUCAUUGCCCUUACCUGUCCACACCUGGCUGGUCUAU
rnacentral:lncRNA from 1 species